CCGUUCUUGUGUUAUUUGCUGGACGUUUCAAAAGUCCAGUGACUGUCAAACAGAACGCAAACCAAAACGCAACUAAUCACUCCAUAAUGGUGCGUCUAACUAGCCAGGACUACAUCAUUACUAAAUGAUUGCGACAUUA